CCCUUAGAUGUUCUGGGCUGCACGCGCGCUACACUGAUGCGUUCAACGAGUUUAUGACCUUGCCCGAUAGGGUUGGGUAAUCUUUUUAAAUCGCUUCGUGAUGGGGAUAGAUUAUUGCAAUUAUUAAUCUUCAACGAGGAAUUCCUAGUAAGCGCGAGUCAUCAGCUCGUGCUGAUUACGUCCCUGCCCUUUGUACACACCGCCCGUCGCUCCUACCGAUUGGGUGAUCCGGUGAAUAAUUCGGACUGCAGCAGUGCUUGGUCCUCCGGGCUUUGCAGCGGAAAGUUUAGUGAACCUUAUCACUUAGAGGAAGGAGAAGUCGUAACA
rnacentral:rRNA from 1 species